CAGAGGGUAGUUUAAUGUAAGAAUACCGGCUUUGGGAGUCGGAGGUGGAAGUUUAAGUCUUUCCUCUUUGA
rnacentral:tRNA from 1 species